rnacentral:rRNA from 1 species
UACGUAGGUGGCGAGCGUUGUCCGGAUUUACUGGGCGUAAAGGGAGUGUAGGCGGACUUUUAAGUGAGAUGUGAAAUACCCGGGCUCAACUUGGGUGCUGCAUUUCAAACUGGAAGUCUAGAGUGCAGGAGAUGAGAAUGGAAUUCCUAGUGUAGCGGUGAAAUGCGUAGAGAUUAGGAAGAACACCGGUGGCGAAGGCGAUUCUCUGGACUGUAACUGACGCUGAGGCUCGAAAGCGUGGGGAGCAAACAGGAUUAGAUACCCCUGUA